rnacentral:rRNA from 1 species
CAGCAGCCGCGGUAAUACGGAGGGUGCUAGCGUUGUUCGGAAUCACUGGGCGUAAAGGGCGCGUAGGCGGCCUGUUAAGUCGGAUGUGAAAGCCCGGGGCUCAACCCCGGAACUGCAUCCGAGACUGGCAGGCUUGAGACCGGGAGAGGAGGGUGGAAUAUCCAGUGUAGAGGUGAAAUUCGUAGAUAUUGGAUGGAACACCGGUGGCGAAAGCGGCUCUCUGGCCCGGAUCUGACGCUGAGGCGCGAAAGCGUGGGGAGCAAACAGGAUUAGAUACCCCAGUAGUCCCUGUCUCUUAUAU